CCAUCCCUCAAGCUCCGCUUGGCUGGUUGGGCCGGCGUCCACCGGUAGACACCGGUGGACGGGCCUGAAACUGGUUGGGCCGGCGUCCACCGGUAGACACCGGUGGACGGGCCUGAAAGGCAGUGGCGGCUCCCGGGGACUCUGGUCCCGGGGGCGGUGAUGCAUGGGUCUCUUCAUCCACCGUCCCACGGGCCACGCCCCCGGAGUCGGUCGAACGGUCGGUCUUCCCCUGUA
rnacentral:misc_RNA from 1 species